rnacentral:lncRNA from 1 species
AGGAGGGAAGAGAUUGAUAAUCAGAGAAAUCCACACCGGUAUUAAUUACAUGCCAUUACCAGGGCUUAUUUGCUAAUCCCCUUUCUAAUCACCCUCCCGGUCAUAUUUCAAGCAGCACUUCAGGACACUGCGCGUCAUGAAUAAAAUAUAUAUCAAAGUUUAUUCCAGAGCACAGGCAGCACGGUGCGGGCAGCGCAGCCAGGGUUACACAACAGACCUGCUGUCACACCAGCGGAGGCGCGGCACAUUCGGACGUCAGUGAAAUCCCCCCCCACCCCAGCCCAAAUCCGGGGUUUUGGCUUUUUAAAAUUUAAAUAAAUAAUAAAUAGCGAGGGGUCAGUGAAAUCCCCCCCCCCCAACCCCAGCCCAAAACCGGUUUUUUUGUUUGUUUGUUUUUGAAAUGUAAAUAAAUAAAUAGCAGAGGGACUUAGGGUUUCCGGGGGAUUCAUGCAGCUUCUGGGGAGCGCCGCUGCGGAAGCCUGGCACGGCGGAGCGGGACGAGGGACGGUCACCCUGGGCACGGAGGAGGAGGAGCGGGACCGCGGGCCGUGCCAGCUGAAGCUCUGCGAUUCCCGGCGGGACCGGCUGAUUCCAUCCGAGCACCGUCCUGAGGCCGGGACAGCGGCGGGGACAGCGGCACCAGGCCCUGCAAGGCUUCCAGUCCGGAGGGGAUCCUUCAUCCCGGAGGGGAUCCUUCAUCCCGGAGGACAUCCUUCAUCCCGGAGGGAUCCUUCAUCCCGGAGGGGAUCCUUCAUCCCGGAGGACAUCCUUCAUCCCGGAGGGGAUCCUUCAUCCCGGAGAGGAUCCUUCAUCCCGGAGGGGAUCCUUCAUCCCGGAGAGGAUCCUUCAUCCCGAGCCCAUCUCCGCCGCCUCGCACCUUCCUGCCAGCCCGCAGCGACCGGCCCUGCCACCAGGUGACAUUGGGUGUCCCCAAGGACGCCGGCUGGAAGCACCGGGAGCCUUCCAUGUCCCCGCCCGGUUUGGUCAGUCCGGAGCAGUCCCGAGCUCCGCUCGCCGCGAGUGUCCGGUGCCAGCGGACCCCGAGCCCGGUCCCUUCCCGAGCCGCUGCCCGGGGCUGCUGCCCGCCGUGCCCCGAGCCCGCUCCGCUCUCCGCCGAGGCUUGCAGGGGGCACGGCGGGGCUGCCCCGUGUGGGUCACCGUCCCGGCGGCGUCCCAAGGGCGGGGGUCCCCUCCGGGGGGAAGGGGCCCUGCCCCGGAACCUGCUGCCUUCAGGGCGGAGCGACCCCAGACCGGGCUGGGGGUGCUGGCAGCAGAUUCCUCCAUGAACACCCCCAAACCUGGCAAGAUCCUCCAGGGAUCCCAGGCUCGGAAGGGUCUCCCAGCACCAGGCAGGUUCCCAGAGCCCGCUGGGUCCCCCAGCCUCGUUGUGUCCCCCCAGUCUGUCAUUCACUGCACACCCCGGACCCUGACCCUGCAGGGUCCUUCGAGCACCACAACCCUCAGGGUGCUCUCCCACCAAAUCCCUCAGGGCACCCCAAGGUCCCCAGACCCUGCUGGGGCCCCUGGGCUGCCCUAAUACCACAAGGUCCCGUAUGGAACCCCAAAUACCCCAAAGUCUCCCCACAUCAGACCCCUCGGGCCACUGCUGGGAUCCCCAGACCCUGCUGGGUACCCCCACCCCAUAGAGUCCCCAGGACCCUGCAGGAUAUCCCUGGCAUCCUCAAGGAUGCUUAAGACCUUCCAGCCCAGAGGGUCCCAUCUCUGGGACCCCCAAAUCCAUUGGGUGCCAGCCCAUUGGAUUCCCCAGACCCUGCUGGAUCUCACCACUCCUGGAAGGGUCCCCUGGACCCUUCACAGAAUUCAACUGUAACCCUCAAACCCAGCAGUUCCAAACCCACCAGACUCCUCUAAAGGACCCCAGACCCCAUUGGCUUACCCCACACCAGGCGGUCCCCCAGAUCCUGCAGGGUCCCCGAGGCCCCUCACACCCACCAAGGUGCCCCCGACCCCAGGACUCCAAACCCACCAGGUCCCAUCCCACCAGAGUCCCCAGGACUCCCUGAACGACCCCAGGCCCUACGGGACCCCACCCCCCCAGCACUGGGUCCCACAGUUCCCUCAGUGAGCCCAACGAGGUGUCCCUCCACUUUCAGAGCCCCCAAACCCCCUGGCUCCCCACGGACCAAACCCCCUCAAGUACCCCAGACCCCUCCAGCUCCCCAAACCUCCCGUGUCCCCACCAUUUACCCUUCCCAAAACCCUCUGAAGGACCGGGUCCCCCCCACCACGGUGUCCCCCAGAUCCUGCAGGGUCCCCCAGACCCACCAAGACUUUCAGAAGCCCCCGGCUCCCCACCCCCCGACC